GCUUUUUCUCCGGCCGAAGAGCAGUGAUCCGAAGCAGUUCCGGUACUGUGGAGGUACCGGUAACUAGAGGCUGCCCGCAGGGAUCAAUCAGCGGCCCAUUUAUCUGGGACAUACUGAUGGAUGUACUGCUUCAGCGUCUCCAGCCGUAUUGCCAGCUGAGUGCAUACGCGGAUGACUUGCUGCUUCUCGUCGAGGGAAAUUCCCGAGCUGUGCUAGAGGAAAAAGGAGCGCAACUAAUGUCCAUCGUAGAAACGUGGGGAGCGGAAGUUGGCGUUGCCGUCUCGACCAGCAAGACGGUAAUCAUGCUGCUGAAAGGUGCCUUGAGACGUGCGCCUACGGUGAGGUUUGCUGGAGCGAACCUUCCGUAUGUGCGUAGCUGUCGGUACCUUGGCAUCACGGUCAGUGAAGGAAUGAAAUUCCUCACGCACAUAGCUUCGCUUCGCCAGCGGAUGACAGGAGUCGUUGGAGCAUUGGCGCGUGUGCUUCGAGCCGACUGGGGCUUCAGUCCUCGAGCCAGGCGGACCAUAUAUGACGGACUCAUGGCACCUUGUGUGCUGUUUGGUGCCCCGGUAUGGUAUGACACCGCGGAACAAGUAGCUGCCCAGAGGCGACUAGCCUCCUGCCAGAGGCUAAUCCUGCUUGGAUGCCUUUCGGUAUGCCGAACAGUGUCCACAGUGGCACUGCAGGUACUUGGUGGAGCUCCCCCGCUUGAUCUGGCUGCUAAGUUAUUAGCGAUUAAAUACAAGCUAAAACGUGGAUUCCCGCUGGAGGAGAACGACUGGCUUUACGGCGAGGACAUUGCGUGUCUUAGCUGGGAGCAGAGGAAGACUCGCCUAGAGGAGUGUUUAAUCCAGAGUUGGCAGAACAGAUGGGACGACGACAGCGAACCAGGACGGGUGACGCAUAGGUUUAUCCCAUACGUCACUCUUGCCUAUCGGGAUCCAAGUUUUGGAUUCUCGAUGAGGACGUCUUUCCUGCUUACAGGGCACGGGUCGUUCAAUGCAUUUUUGCACGGGAGAGCCCUCAGCGAUACCACUGCUUGCGCAUGUGGAGAUCCAUAUGAGGACUGGAUGCAUAUCUUGUGCGCUUGCCCCCUAUAUGCAGAUCUGCGGGACCUAGAUGGACUUGGAGUGCAGCGCCUUGGCGAAAACUGGAUCUUCGAGGGAAUCCUGGAUGAUCAAGAGAAGACUCAACGGCUGGCAAUGUUUGCGGAAGAAGUGUUCCUGAGGAGGAGGGGCGUUUAGCUCAACAUCUCUGCCGUGUGGUUAGCGGGCGAGAAUACUACCACAGUCCGCUGUUGCUUGUCGUAAGAGACGACUAAUACAGCGAUAGGAUUCCUCUAACCCUGCUUGUCGGAGCAAAAGGGGGAGGCCCACCGAGCCUCUUUUCGGUACCACGGGUUGAGCAGCUAUCCAAGACUGCUCAUUGAGGUAGGCCCCCUGGUGGGAGUAUCGUGGUGGCUGUGGUUGGUACCCAUAUCGCGGGUAGAGCCUUCAUGCUCGACGUUUGAGUUACGGUGCUAGUUGCGCAAAACUCGGGUGCUGUGACCCAGAGAUCAGUAGAGAUUUUAGGUAGAUCUCGCUCCUCAGCAAGGGGGAGUGCUUGCCCGGCAAGCAAGUACUCGAAUUGCUACCGGGGUGGUCGCUAUGUACAUAGCUAUAGCUUCUAGUCCGGGACGCUUGUCUGGCGUAUCCAGACACAUGCACCAUAUGCUCACUUGUGGGCGUAUAGGGUGCCGUGGUUGUAAUCCCUUCAGUGUGGAACACGCCACGUAAAAUAAGUUCGGAGGGAUCCGAAAAGCAUACAUUGUCCCUAUCUACUAUCUAGCGAAACCACAGCCAAGGGAACGGGCUUGGAAUAAUUAGCGGGGAAAGAAGACCCUUUUGAGCUUGACUCUAAUCUGGCAGUGUAAGGAGACAUAAGAGGUGUAGAAUAAAGUGGGAGAUAUUAGACCUCGGUUUGGUAUCGUCAAUGAAAUACCACUACUCUUAUUGUUUCCUUACUUACUUGAUUAAAUGGAACGUGUAUCAUUUCCUAGCCAUUAUACGGAUAUAUUUAUUAUAUCUUAUGGUAUUGGGUUUUGAUGCAAGCUUCUUGAUCAAAGUAUCACGAGUUUGUUAUAUAAUCGCAAACAAAUUCUUUAAUAAAACGAUGCAUUUAUGUAUUUUUGAUUUGAAAAUUUGGUAUAACUCCAAUUACUCAGGUAUGAUCCAAUUCCAAGGACAUUGCCAAGGUAGGGAGUUUGACUGGGGCGGUACAUCUCUCAAAUAAUAACGGAGGUGUCCCAAGGCCAGCUCAGUGCGGACAGAAACCACACAUAGAGCAAAAGGGCAAAUGCUGACUUGAUCUCGGUGUUCAGUACACACAGGGACAGCAAAAGCUCGGCCUAUCGAUCCUUUUGGUUUAAAGAGUUUUUAACAAGAGGUGUCAGAAAAGUUACCAUAGGGAUAACUGGCUUGUGGCGGCCAAGCGUUCAUAGCGACGUCGCUUUUUGAUCCUUCGAUGUCGGCUCUUCCUAUCAUUGUGAAGCAAAAUUCACCAAGCGUUGGAUUGUUCACCCAUGCAAGGGAACGUGAGCUGGGUUUAGACCGUCGUGAGACAGGUUAGUUUUACCCUACUAAUGACAAAACGUUGUUGCGACAGCAUUCCUGCGUAGUACGAGAGGAACCGCAGGUACGGACCAAUGGCACAAUACUUGUUCGAGCGAACAGUGGUAUGACGCUACGUCCGUUGGAUUAUGCCUGAACGCCUCUAAGGUCGUAUCCGUGCUGGACUGCAAUGAUAAAUAAGGGGCAAUUUGCAUUGUAUGGCUUCUAAACCAUUUAAAGUUUAUAAUUUACUUUAUAAACGACAAUGGAUGUGAUGCCAAUGUAAUUUGUAACAUAGUAAAUUGGGAGGAUCUUCGAUCACCUGAUGCCGCGCUAGUUACAUAUAAAAGCAUUAUUU
rnacentral:rRNA from 1 species